AAAACACGGAUGAACGCUAGCGACAGGCUUAACACAUGCAAGUCGAGGGGCAGCACGGGAGUAGCAAUACAACUGGUGGCGACCGGCGCACGGGUGAGUAACGCGUAUGCAACCUACCUAUCAGAGGGGAAUAACCCGGCGAAAGUCGGACUAAUACCGCAUAAAACAGGGGCACCGCAUGGUGAUAUUUGUUAAAGAAAUUCGCUGAUAGAUGGGCAUGCGUUCCAUUAGGUAGUUGGUGAGGUAACGGCUCACCAAGCCGACGAUGGAUAGGGGAACUGAGAGGUUGGUCCCCCACACUGGUACUGAGACACGGACCAGACUCCUACGGGAGGCAGCAGUGAGGAAUAUUGGUCAAUGGGCGGGAGCCUGAACCAGCCAAGUCGCGUGAAGGAAGAAGGAUCUAUGGUUCGUAAACUUCUUUUGCAGGGGAAUAAAGUGCGGGACGUGUCCUGUUUUGUAUGUACCCUGAGAAUAAGGAUCGGCUAACUCCGUGCCAGCCGCCGCCGUA
rnacentral:rRNA from 1 species